rnacentral:rRNA from 1 species
UUUUGGCCAUGGGGGGGACCCUGACCCAGCCAUUGCGGCGCGAGGGAAGAAGGCCUUUGGUUUGUAAAGAUAUUUCGCAACCCACGAAAACCUAUGAUUGAAUAAAUCAUGAGGUUGACGGUACCUUGAUAAGAAGCACCGGCUAACUACGUGCCAGCAGCCGCGGUAAUACGUAGGGUGGGGAGCGUUAAUCGGAAUUACUGGGCGUAAAGCGUGCGCAGGCGGUUUUGUAAGUCGGAUGUGAAAUCCCUUGGCUCAACCUGGGAACUGGGUUCGAAACUGCAAGGCUAGAGUGUGUCAGAGGGGGGUAGAAUUCCACGUGUAGCAGUAAAUGCGUAGAGAUGAGAGGAAUACCAAUGGCGAAGGCAACCCCCGGAUUCCUACUACGUCAGCAAAGGGGCUCGCCGAA